rnacentral:rRNA from 1 species
GAUGAACGCUGGCGGCGUGCCUAAUACAUGCAAGUCGAGCGAACAGACGAGGAGCUUGCUCCUCUGACGUUAGCGGCGGACGGGUGAGUAACACGUGGAUAACCUACCUAUAAGACUUGGAUAACUUCGGGAAACCGGAGCUAAUACCGGAUAAUAUAUUUAACCGCAUGGUUCAAUAGUGAAAGACGGUUUUGCUGUCACUUAUAGAUGGAUCCGCGCCGCAUUAGCUAGUUGGUAAGGUAACGGCUUACCAAGGCGACGAUGCGUAGCCGACCGGAGAGGGUGAUCGGCCACACUGGAACUGAGACACGGUCCAGACUCCUACGGGAGGCAGCAGUAGGGACUCUUCCGCAAUGGGCGAAAGCCUGACGGAGCAACGCCGCGUGAGUGAUGAAGGUCUUCGGAUCGUAAAACUCUGUUAUUAGGGAAGAACAAAUGUGUAAGUAACUAUGCACGUCUUGACGGUACCUAAUCAGAAAGCCACGGCUAACUACGUG